AACGGAGGGUGCGAGCGUUGUUCGGAAUUACUGGGCGUAAAGCGCGUGCAGGUGGUCUUUUAAGUUCCGUGUGAAAUCCCUCGGCUUAACCGGGGAACGGCGCGGAAAACUGGAAGACUUGAGUACGGGAGAAGAGGGCGGAAUUCCCAGUGUAGAGGUGAAAUUCGUAGAUAUUGGGAGGAACACCGGUGGCGAAAGCGGCUCUCUAGACCGAUACUGACACUCAUACGCGAAAGCGUGGGUAGCAAACAGG
rnacentral:rRNA from 1 species